CACACACACACACACACACACACACACACACAGAUCUAGAAAUUACAUUUCCAACAUUAGCAGACAGAGCUAUCACCAAAGUAACACACGUGCAUGACUAAGCAGAAAAUACCUCAAA